rnacentral:tRNA from 1 species
GCCUGGCUGGCUUAGUUGGAAGAGCAUGUGACUCUUGAUCAUGCAGUCAUGAGUUCGAGCCCCACAUUAGGUG